CGGACACACCCCAAUACAACGCGAGCGAUCGUCUCCGGGUUCAGGCAAGUCGCUCAGACGUGCGGGGAGCUGUGCUCGACGCGUGUGGGUUGCUCCUCAGGAGACGCACCAGGAAGCGAAAAACUUCUCCAUAAAGGCGGCGUUCAACUCUCCGGUGACACGACGGUGUGCCGCCUUGAUCCCCUCUGGCCUUUUUGGAGACCAAGGAGACACCCGGUAUGCCAAGCGGGCAGAUGCACCAACCGCGGCGGCGGCCGCGUGGUGGCGCCGCUUGAGCUGAGCAGCUCACAUGGAAGAGCGACGAGUGGCAGCGAGGAGACGGCACGAGCGCAACUUCACAGGCAGAGUGCGAAGGAAACAUGUGCAGGCGGCCGCGCCUCCUCCGCCUCGCGGGACACUAGCCCACACGGACGCGCAUCCCAUCCUCUCAAGGGAGGUCAAGGGACAACCUCCUCCAUAAGUGGCGGCUGUAGGAUCGCUUUCAAAAAAAAAAAGAUCAUCAUACACCGCAAAACGCAUCGGCGCCGCCUUUGUGCGCCGCCCUCCAGCUCUACUGCUGCUUGCGCACCUCUGACGUCGUCUUCACUGCCGUCGGUGCGGCUGCAUCGCAUGCUCCAGGCAAACUUCAACGGCCACGUGGGGUCAUUGCACGAGACGCUCCUUGACGUUUUUUCUUCCAUCGCCGAGCCCUGCCAG
rnacentral:misc_RNA from 1 species